ensembl:lncRNA
GGGAUGUCUAAGAGGGGACGUGGGGAUGCCUAAGAGGGGACGUGGGGAGGACGUGGGGAUGGCUAAGAGAGGACGUGGGGAUGGCUAAGAGGGGACGUGGGGAGGACGUGGGGAUGGCUAAGAGGGGACGUGGGGAUGGCUAAGAGGGGACGUGGGGAGGACGUGGGGAUGUCUAAGAGGGGACAUGGGUAGGACGUGUGGAUGUCUAAGAGGGGACGUGUGGAUGUCUAAGAGGGACGUGGGGAUGUCUAAGAGGGACGUGGGGAUGUCUAAGAGAAGACGUGGGGAUGGCUAAGAGGGGACGUGGGGAGGAUGUGGGGAUUUCUAAGAGGGGACGUGGGGAUGACGUGGGGAUGUCUAAGAAGGGACGUGGGGACGACGUGGGGAUGUCUAAGAGGGGACGUGGGGAUGACUAAGAAGGGACGUGGGGAUGACUAAGAGGGGACGUGGGGAUGACUAAGAGGGGACGUGGGGAUGUCUAAGAGGGGACGUGGGGAGGACGUGGGGAUGUCUAAGAUGGGGAAGUGGGGAGGACGUGGGGAUGUCUAAGAGGGGACGUGGGGAUGUCUAAGAGGGGACGUGGGGAUGUCUAAGAGGGGACGUGGGGAUGUCUAAGAGGGGACGUGGGGAUGUCUAAGAGGGGACGUGGGGAUGUCUAAGAGGGGACGUGGGGAGGACGUGGGGAUGUCUAAGAGGGGACGUGGGGAGGACGUGGGGAUGUCUAAGAGGGGACGUGGGGAGGACGUGGGGAUUCUAAGAGGGGACGUGGGGAUGUCUAAGAGGGGAUGUGGGGAGGAUGUGGGGAUGUCUAAGAGGGGACGUGGGGAGGACGUGGGGAUGUCUAAGAGGGGACGUGGGGAGGACGUGGGGAUGUCUAAGAGGGGACGUGGGGAUGUCUAAGAGGGGACGUGGGGAUGUCUAAGAGGGGACGUGGGGAGGACGUGGGGAUGUCUAAGAGGGGACGUGGGGAUGUCUAAGAGGGGACGUGGGGAUGUCUAAAUGGUGACGCGGAGAUGUCUAAGAGUGUACGUGGGGAGGACGUGGGGAUGUCUAAGAGGGGACGUGGGGA